rnacentral:tRNA from 1 species
GGGUGUAUAGCUCAGUGGUAGAGUGUAGAGUGCAUGUUUAGCAUGCAUGAGGUCCUGGUUUCAAUCCCCAGGACCCCCG